GCCGUAUUGAAUCAGGUCGCUGGCCGCAUACGACCCACCCGUGCCAGCCUUUGGCCAGGCCUAAUCUGCCUCAUUGUUCUGUCUGUGGUAGUGUACAAAUAGAUGUAGUUAAUCUGAUGUCCAGCGGGGGCAGUGUUGCUUCAGUCAUCUAUCCUGUAGCUUAGUUCAUGAUGACAAACAGGCAGCUGCUCUCCCCUAGAGAACACUGAAUAUAUUCCUCUGCUGUUGAACAAUACAAUGAUGGUCGGAGCUUCUGUUAACUUCUCCAUACUACUGCUCCUGUUGCCAGGUGUGAUACAGACAGUGGAGAUCAGCCAGUGGCCCAGUUCCAUCUGUAGCCAUCCCAACACCUCCAUGGACAUGCACUGUUCUCAGGACGCAGGCUAUGACUACAUGUACUGGUACAGGCACCUCCAGGGAGAGGGCCCUAAACUAAUGGCCACGCUCGUAGCUGGAUCAGCAAGCUAUGAGACAGAGUUUAAGUCUGGCUUCAGAGUCUGGAGAACAGAAAACUCAGAGGGAAUGAGCUCAGUAAGGCAGUGGUCUCUGACAGUACAGAUGGUGCAGAGAAAGGACCAGGCAGUGUAUCUGUGUGCUGCUAGUCCACACAGUGAAGCAGGCAUGCUCAACUCUGUCACAAUAUCACAUUUUGGGAGGCUGCCAAGGAGGCUCUGUCUGGCAGCUGGCUGAUGUUACCUGGCAGGGUUUAUAUCUCUCUACACCUGACUGAUGUUACCUGGCAGGGUUUAUAUCUCUCUACACCUGACUGAUGUUACCUGGCAGGGUUUAUAUCUCUCUACACCUGACUGAUGUUACCUGGCAGGGUUUAUAU